AACGGAUAAAAGGUACUCCGGGGAUAACAGGCUGAUACCGCCCAAGAGUUCAUAUCGACGGCGGUGUUUGGCACCUCGAUGUCGGCUCAUCACAUCCUGGGGCUGAAGUCGGUCCCAAGGGUAUGGCUGUUCGCCAUUUAAAGUGGUACGCGAGCUGGGUUUAGAACGUCGUGAGACAGUUCGGUCCCUAUCUGCCGUGGGCGUUGGAAAAUUGAAGGGAGCUGCUCCUAGUACGAGAGGACCGGAGUGGACGAACCUCUGGUGUUCGGGUUGUCAUGCCAAUGGCAUUGCCCGGUAGCUAAGUUCGGAAUCGAUAACCGCUGAAAGCAUCUAAGCGGGAAGCGAGCCCUGAGAUGAGUUUUCCCUGGCGCUUUAAGCGUCCUAAAGGGUUGUUCAAGACUAGAACGUUGAUAGGCAGGGUGUGUAAGCGCUGUGAGGCGUUGAGCUAACCUGUACUAAUUGCCCGUGAGGCUUAACCAUACAACACCCAAGGGGUUU
rnacentral:rRNA from 1 species